CACAUGGCUGCCUUGUGAUUAAACCCUCUCUCUGCUGCAAUCUUGUCAUCUCAGUGUUUGGUUUUCUGGGCAAAAGUCAAAAAUGAACCUGGGCUUGGUAAUAGUAUGACUAGUAUCCUUAUAAAAAGGGGAAAUUUGGACCCAGAGGGAAGAUGAUGUGAGGAUACAUAGGGAGAAGACCACCCUAUGACUAGAGUGACAUAUCUACAAGCCAAGGAACACCAAAGAUUGCCAGCAAACACCAGAAGCUUAGAAGAGGCAAGCAAAGAUCCUCCCCUUGAGUCAUCAGAGAGAGCAUGGCCCUGUCAACAUCUUGAUCUUGGACUUUUAGCCUCCAGAACUGAGAGACAAUAAAGUUCUGCUGUUGUAAAACACCAAGUUUUUGGUACUUUAUUAUGGCAGCCUUAGGAAACUAACACAGUUAUCAAAACUUAACAGUCAAUAGAAUCAAUUACAAAAUAUAUCAGAUUUGGUUACAUAAAAGGAAACUCAUACACCUGAAAAUAGAAUACAAAAUUUUAAAACAAAAAAUAAAUUGGAAAUUAUUCUAACAAAUAAGAUAAGGUGUUUGUAUCCUUUAAUAAAUCUAAAGCUUUUACAAAUUGUUGAAGAAAAAAGUUACAAAGAUUCCAAAGGGCAUGAACAGAUAAUUCACGAAAGAUAAAAUAUGAAAGAUAACAAAACAUGGUAAAAUAUUCAAUCUCAUUAGGUAAGCAGAGAAAUGAAAGUUGAGACAACGGUGAGCUCAUCUACAUUGUUACAACAUUUUUUUAACCCGGCAAAUUAAAAAAAAGAUUAAAAUUACUCAAUAUUGGCAAGGAUGCAACAUUAAGACAUUCAAUCAGGCAACAUAUACAAAGAAGUUGAAAUUUCACUCUGCUAAGGCAGACAGAUAUUCAUUCCAUUAUAAGAGAGAAUACUAUGCAGCCAUUAAAAGUCAGAUGGAGAAAGACAAAUACCAUGUGAUUUCACGUAUAUGGGGAAUAUAAAAAAACCAAACAAACAAAAACAAACUCAUAGAUACAAAGAACAGAUUGGUGGUCACUAGAGGCAAAAAGGAUUAGGAGGUGGGUGAAAUGAGUGAAGGGGCUCAAUUACAUGGUGAUGAGUAGAAACUAGACUUACAGUGGGUGAUGAUCACUUUGAAGUAUAUACAAAUAUCAAAUUAUACCGUUGCACACCUGAGACCUAUAAAAUGUUAUAUACCAAUUUUAUCUCAAUAAAAAAAAAUCAUACUUAUAUGGCUGAUAGUAAUUGUCUUUGUCUAUUUCUUGUAGGGGUGGGGAUGUGGAUGUCCACUGUGUUCUGCAUUACAUACUUUUAAAUUUGGUAUUAAAACUUUGUAAGUAGAGAUAAAAUAUCUUUACAAAGAAUGUUUAAUUAUUUGAAGAAAUGUUUUGGGUGUGUGUGGUGGGCUACAAAAUACAAACGUAUAACUUUAACUAAAAAUAUAUAGAAGACUAAAUGGAAAAAGACCAAAAUUUUCACAGUGGCCUCUAGCUUAUGACCUUGCUUCAUCUUUCUUUGCUUCCCCUGUUUCAUUCUUUUAUUUGGAGGAGGAAGUAUACUUUCCAGUUUCUCAAUAAUGGAAAUCUUUUAUCAACAGGAACAAAGUGAAAAACAGCAAGGGAGGGAAUCUAAUCAACAGUUUCACAGCUGACAUGACCAUGCACAGAAAUAAAACAAUGAUCCCCUGUCUUCUUUGGGGCUGGGAGAAGCAGUGAUCACAGUGUGAAGAGGUUAGCACUCAGCUGUAACAAACACUUCCCGAAAGAGUGUAAGACAUCCCCUCUCUAGAAUACAUCUCAAGUCACACGGAUUGAGAAACCUUCCACUUCUUCCCUCUGAAGACUUUGCAGAUAGGAAUUAAAGAAUAAAGAGGGUGGUAUUUUCCAUUUAUAUUGCCAUCUAUGUGGGUGGAACCCUCUCUUUCUUGCUUCUGCUAUAGAAUUCAACUUCUAUGACUCAACAGAGGCUUAAUAAAUGCUUCCUGACCUCUAGAACCUGCAAAACUAGAAUUGGCAAGGAUGAUGAGGGAAAGAGCACAAAAUAUAUGUAUAGUCCCUUCCAAAUAUGCUUAAUUAGAGCCUCUCCAUUUAGUGCACUGUUUCAUCUAAUUCAAAAACAGUACAGUCUGAACAGCAGUAAUGGAGACUCAUUAAGUUCCAUUAGCAGCGAAUGGAUACAAUAGAAACCAGCAACUAUUCACAGCAACAGACCUCAAGGGCUGCAGAAACUCCUUUCUUUUUGGAUUCUAUCAUCAACAACAAGGAAAUGAGUACGGGUCACUGUGACUACCUUCUAGGAGCUAUUCUGACGAAUUCCCAGCUUGAUGACAGCAAAGACGGCGAAGGAGGAGACCCACGUGACUCAGCAGGAUGAAAGGCGGGGGCAGCCAAGGCUUCUCAUGGAGUGUUUCAUUAGGUCUUAAUUACCGUUGACAGUCUGUUGUGGAUUAUAAAGUGCUAAUUGAGCCUCUGAGUUGAAUUCAAAGACACCAACUACCAUGAUGAAUACAGCAUGGAAACACAAAUUGAGAUUCAAGACUUUUUUUUUCCUUACAAGAAGUCCUUUCACUCUGGUUCUCCCACCAAGUCAACACAACCAGAAGGCCCACACUCUCUCCAUCAAGAUAACAGACUUCAGAAAAAUGAGCGACGAACUUUUUAAAUGUGCUGUAGAUGGAUUUUAAUCAUGGUGAUAAAAAAAAGGCACCCCCAGUCUUCUGCAGAUGUGAACAAAAGUUCUUGGUAAUUAAAAAAGAAAGAAUUAAGGCAUAAGAGUCUGUGAUAAUUGGGAAGUUUUGGUAACUAAUGGGGGAUCAGAUGAUUUUAUUUUAAGUCUGACUUAGAAGUUCAAGGAGAACACCAUGAGCAGACUACGAGGAAGCGUAUAAAGUGAUGGGCUUCAUCCUGGCUCCCUAGAACAAAGGUUAGCCUCACUAAUGAAGUAACAGAGCCCCCAAGUUAUCACAAAUAUUCAAAACAGCAAUAUUGAGAACAAUGGAAAUCACUUAUUAGUCCUGCGAUAAAGACAACAGAACCAGGAAGUUUCUUUAUUUUCAGCAGGUAUUAUUAUCAUCAUUGGCAGUAUGGUUACAUCAUGUUGAGCUGAAGUUCUGAUGGAAGUUCUGAUGGAAUUCAUGUUUUCAUUAGAGAAAAAUUACUAGCUAAUGCUACUUACUUGGUGGAUCACAUCUUUACAAAUAUAAAGUAAAUUAUAGGAAAAAAUGUGUGGUUUGGUGAUAAAAUUGUUCAGUCACGAGUAAAGAGGGUAGAUAAUUCACUAGAAAAUCCAUAUCUACAUUUUAUGAAGCAAAAUCUGGCAACAUCUCCAUCCCAAAGCUGAGGCAAUACACAAAGAAAUUUGCACACCUUCAUAAUUA